UAAAGUGAUGAUAAUUAUCAUUUACAGUGAUAAUUUCAAAAUAGUGACUAGCAGAAAUGCGAUGUUGUUUACUAAAAUUACACCAUCUUUCGGGGCUGAUU
rnacentral:snoRNA from 1 species